rnacentral:rRNA from 1 species
AAUAUUGGGCAAUGGGCGAAAGCCUGACCCAGCAACGCCGCGUGCACGAUGAAGGUCUUCGGAUCGUAAAGUGCUUUUCUGAGAGAUGAGAAAGGACAGUAUCUCAGGAAUAAGUCUCGGCUAACUACGUGCCAGCAGCCGCGGUAACACGUAGGAGGCAAGCGUUAUCCGGAUUUACUGGGCGUAAAGCGCGUGCAGGUGGUUCGGUAAGUUGGAUGUGAAAGCUCCUGGCUCAACUGGGAGAGGUCGUUCAAUACUACCGGACUUGAGAGCAGUAGAGGGAGGUGGAAUUCCCGGUGUAGUGGUGAAAUGCGUAGAUAUCGGGAGGAACACCAGUGGCGAAAGCGGCCUCCUGGACUGUUUCUGACACUCAGACGCGAAAGCUAGGGUAGCAAACGGGAUUAGA